rnacentral:rRNA from 1 species
UACGGAAGGCAGCAGUGGGGAAUAUUGCACAAUGGGCGCAAGCCUGAUGCAGCCAUGCCGCGUGUAUGAAGAAGGCCUUCGGGUUGUAAAGUACUUUCAGUCGUGAGGAAGGUGUUAAGGUUAAUAACCUUAGCAAUUGACGUUAGCGACAGAAGAAGCACCGGCUAACUCCGUGCCAGCAGCCGCGGUAAUACGGAGGGUGCGAGCGUUAAUCGGAAUUACUGGGCGUAAAGGGCACGCAGGCGGUUAAUUAAGUUGGAUGUGAAAUCCCCGGGCUUAACCUGGGAAUGGCAUUCAAGACUGGUUAGCUAGAGUCUUGUAGAGGGGGUAGAAUUCCAUGUGUAGCGGUGAAAUGCGUAGAGAUGUGGAGGAAUACCGGUGGCGAAGGCGGCCCCUGGACAAAGGCUGACGCUCAUGUGCGAAAGCGUGGGGAGCAAACGAGGGAUUAUA